CAAAUAAUUCAUAAAUCACCUUGUAUAUCAAAUAUUAAAAUCAACUGGAGUGGGCGCUGCAAUCUGAUUGGUAACAAAAACAAUGUUGAAAGGGUUUGGAUCACGGGAAUCUUUCGAACUUUCUCGAUGUAUGAAUGCGUUUCUUGAUAAGAAUUUUUAUUUUUCUCAAACACAAAUUUAAAUAAUGUGCCAUUAGGCUUUUCAAAAUGGAUAUUACGUUAAAUAAAUAUGAAGUUUGAUCAAAACUUAUCAGAGCAACGUUUUCAUCACACUCUGCUAACAAGGAAGUAUGAUGUCAUCCAUUGCAUGAUGUCAUUGUAAUCCAGGUUGACGUCAUAGCAUUCCUGACGGCAUGUCUGACACGUUAUAGGGGGUGUAAGUAGGUCACGGGACAACGCGAGACCUAACGUUAUUUAUUACAUCCGGUGACAAACGUCGUCUCGCGGCAAUGGCGACAGCAGUGUCACGUCGGACAGGGCCCGGCGAAUCAUAUUUGGAACACGCAGGUGUAACUUAGAAAAACAUGACACUGUCACAGUCAUUAAAACACUCGAGAUGGGGAACAUGAAUAGCAAGUGUUGGCUUGUCAAAGCAGUUGCAGUGUUGUCAAGACGUCCUAUGGUCGAUGUCAAACUGGCCGCUACCCAUUCAUAAAUAUUGAGUUGGGCCAUAUUUCCAUGUUUGAGGGGAGAAAGAUUUCCUCAUCUGACUCACGAGUAGAUGCAUAUGGAUCACCAGAAUUACCUUGAUGCCAAACAUAACUGCACCUCAAGAGCAUCUCGGACUAUAACAUAUUUCUUGGAAUAUUUUGUGGUCAAGCAUUGCAUUGCCUAUGAAAGAACAACUCUUGUUGUGUAUACAGGUGUAAACAUAUUAAAGUUCUAUCUGAAGUACUGGUUCUGUAAAUGAUGUCUGUGACCAUCAGAAUACACCAUAUACACUGGACACUUGCUGGAACAGGACCUACUUGUCAUCAACAUGGUGUUGCAGAACAUCUUGGGACUCUCUCAUAAAGUCCAGUGUGAAUCUAGAUACUGACACCAGUAACAGUGCAUGCUGGCACAUUUAUUUGUUCAGGCUUGGCAUUUUGGAAUAUUUGCCAUGAAUGUUUAAUACUCAUGACCUUGGAAUAAAAUUACUGAAUAGA